UAACUACGUGCCAGCAGCCGCGGUAAUACGUAGGUGGCAAGCGUUGUCCGGAAUUACUGGGUGUAAAGGGAGCGCAGGCGGGUGAUCAAGUCAGCUGUGAAAACUACGGGCUUAACCCGUAGACUGCAGUUGAAACUGUUCAUCUUGAGUGAAGUAGAGGUUGGCGGAAUUCCGAGUGUAGCGGUGAAAUGCGUAGAUAUUCGGAGGAACACCGGUGGCGAAGGCGGCCAACUGGGCUUUAACUGACGCUGAGGCUCGAAAGUGUGGGGAGCAAACAGGAUUAGAUACCCUGGUAGUCCACACUGUAAACGAUGAUUGCUAGGUGUGGGGGGUCUGACCCCCUCCGUGCCGGAGUUAACGCAAUAAGCAAUCCACCUGGGGAGUACGGCCGCAAGGUUGAAACUCAAAGGAAUUGACGGGGGCCCGCACAAGCAGUGGAUUAUGUGGUUUAAUUCGAAGCAACGCGAAGAACCUUACCAGGGCUUGACAUCCAACUAACGAAGCAGAGAUGCAUUAGGUGCCCUUCGGGGAAAGUUGAGACAGGUGGUGCAUGGUUGUCGUCAGCUCGUGUCGUGAGAUGUUGGGUUAAGUCCCGCAACGAGCGCAACCCUCGCCAUUAGUUGCUACGCAAGAGCACUCUAAUGGGACCGCUACCGACAAGGUGGAGGAAGGUGGGGACGACGUCAAAUCAUCAUGCCCCUUAUGUGCUGGGCUACACACGUAAUACAAUGGCCAUCAACAGAGAGAAGCAAUACCGCGAGGUGGAGCAAAACUUCAAAAAUGGUCUCAGUUCGGACUGCAGGCUGCAACCCGCCUGCACGAAGUUGGAAUUGCUAGUAAUCGUGGAUCAGCAUGCCACGGUGAAUACGUUCCCGGGUCUUGUACACACCGCCCGUCACACCAUGGGAGCCGGUAACACCCGAAGUCAGUAGUCUAACCGCAAGGAGGACGCUGCCGAAGGUGGGAUUGGCGACUGGGGUGAAGUCGUAACAAGGUAGCCGUAUCGGAAGGUGCGGCUG
rnacentral:rRNA from 1 species